AUUGAACGCUGGCGGCAGGCCUAACACAUGCAAGUCGAGCGGUAGAGAGGUGCUUGCAUCUCUUGAGAGCGGCGGACGGGUGAGUAAUGCCUAGGAAUCUGCCUAGUGGUGGGGGAUAACGUUCGGAAACGGACGCUAAUACCGCAUACGUCCUACGGGAGAAAGCGGGGGAUCUUCGGACCUCGCGCCAUUAGAUGAGCCUAGGUCGGAUUAGCUAGUUGGUGAGGUAAUGGCUCACCAAGGCGACGAUCCGUAACUGGUCUGAGAGGAUGAUCAGUCACACUGGAACUGAGACACGGUCCAGACUCCUACGGGAGGCAGCAGUGGGAAUAUUGGACAAU
rnacentral:rRNA from 1 species